rnacentral:rRNA from 1 species
GAGGAAUUUUUCACAAUGGACGAAAGUCUGAUGGAGCAAUACCAUGUGAACGAUGAAGGUCUUCUGAUUGUAAAGUUCUUUUAUUUAGGAAAAAAAGCUUGAUAGGAAAUGAUUAAGCCUUGAUUGUACUAAAUGAAUAAGUGACAGCUAACUAUGUGCCAGCAGCUGCGGUAAAACAUAGGUCACGAGCAUUAUCCGGAUUUAUUGGGCGUAAAGGAAGCGUAGGCGGACAAAUUGAUCUAUUGUUAAAGGCACUUGCUCAACGAGUUGUUUGUGAUAGAUAUCGUUUGUCUAGAAUUAGUUAGGAGAUACUGGAAUUCAAUGUGUAGCGGUGGAAUGCGUAGAUAUAUUGAGGAACACCAGAGGCUAAGGCGAGUAUCUAGGACAUAAUUGACGCUGAGGCUUGAAAGCGUGGGGAGCAAAUGGGAUUAGAUACCCCAGUAGUCCACGCCGUAAACGAUGGGUAUUAGGUAUUUGGUCUAGGACUGAGUGCUGUAGCUAACGCGUUAAAUACCCCGCCUGGGUAGUAUAUAUGCAAAUAUGAAACUCAAAGAAAUUGACGGGGACCUGAACAAGUGGUGGAGCAUGUUGCUUAAUUCGAUAAUACACGAAAAACCUUACCGAGGCUUGUAAUCUUUUGCGAAGCUAUAGAAAUAUAGUGGAGGUUAUCAGAAUGACAGGUGGUGCAUGGCUGUCGUCAGCUCGUGUCUUGAGAUGUUUGGUUAAGUCCCGUAACGAGCGCAACCCUUCUCUUUAGUUAAAUAGUUCUAAAGUGACUGAAUCGUAAGAUAUAGGAAGGCUGGGGCCAAGUCAAGUCAUCAUGCCCCUUAUGCCUCGGGCUGCAAACGUGCUACAAUGGUAGGCAUAAUGUGUCGCAAUCUAGAAAUAGGGAGCUAAUCACCGAAAACCUAUCUCAGUCCGGAUAAAAGGCUGCAAUUCGCCUAUUUGAAGUUGGAAUCACUAGUAAUCCUGUGUCAGCUAUAUCAGGGUGAAUGCGUUCC